GUGAGGAAUAUUGGACAAUGGGCGCAAGCCUGAUCCAGCCAUGCCGCGCGCAGGAAGACGCAUCUAUGGUGUGUAAACUGCUUUUGUACGGGAAGAAACACUCCCUCGUGAGGGAGCUUGACGGUACCGUAAGAAUAAGGAUCGGCUAACUCCGUGCCAGCAGCCGCGGUAAUACGGAGGAUCCAAGCGUUAUCCGGAAUCAUUGGGUUUAAAGGGUCCGUAGGCGGUUUAAUAAGUCAGUGGUAAAAGACCAUCGCUAAACGAUGGAACGGUCAUUGAUACUGUGAGACUUGAAUUACUAGGAAGUAACUAGAAUAUGUAGUGUAGCGGUGAAAUGCUUAGAUAUUACAUGGAAUACCAAUUGCGAAGGCAGGUUACUACUUGUGGAUUGACGCUGAUGGACGAAAGCGUGGGGAGCGAACAGGAUUAGAUACCCUUGUAGUCC
rnacentral:rRNA from 1 species